rnacentral:snRNA from 1 species
GUUUAAAUGAGGACGCACUCUGAACAGAAACGCAAAUUGGAACAAUACAAAGAAGAUUAGCAUGGCCCCUGUGCAAAUUCUAGCUGAGAAUAGAACCAACCCUAC